GUUAGGAAUAUUGGACAAUGGGCGAAAGCCUGAUCCAGCCAUGCCGCGUGAACGAUGAAGGCCUUCGGGUUGUAAAGUUCUUUAGCCGAUGAUUAUAAUGACUGUAGUCGGAAAAUAAGCCCCGGCUAACUUCGUGCCAGCAGCCGCGGUAAUACGAAGGGGGCGAGCGUUAUUCGGAAUCACUGGGCGUAAAGCGUGCGUAGGCGGUGUUGUAAGUUAGGAGUGAAAGCCCAGGGCUCAACCUUGGAAUUGCUCUUAAAACUGCAAGGCUCGAAGCUCGGAGAGGAUAGCGGAAUUUCCAGUGUAGCAGUGAAAUGCGUAGAUAUUGGAAGGAACACCAGUGGCGUAAGCGGCUAUCUGGACGAGUAUUGACGCUGAGGCACGAAAGCGUGGGGAUCAAACAGGAUUAGAAACCCCUGUAGUCC
rnacentral:rRNA from 1 species